UUUUGGUGAUGAUUCUUUUGCUCUGAUAUAUAUUGAUGUUAUAAAACGAGCUUUUCAAAUCUGAAAAAU